rnacentral:rRNA from 1 species
UACGUAGGGUGCAAGCGUUGUCCGGAAUUAUUGGGCGUAAAGAGCUCGUAGGCGGUCUGUCGCGUCUGGUGUGAAAACUCAGGGCUUAACCCUGAGCUUGCAUCGGGUACGGGCAGACUAGAGUGCGGUAGGGGAGACUGGAAUUCCUGGUGUAGCGGUGAAAUGCGCAAAUAUCAGGAGGAACACCGGUGGCGAAGGCGGGUCUCUGGGCCGAUACUGACGCUGAGGAGCGAAAGCGUGGGGAGCGAACAGG